UACGUAGGGGGCAAGCGUUGUCCGGAUUUAUUGGGCGUAAAGAGCGUGUAGGCGGCUAGGUAGGUCCGUUGUGAAAACUCGAGGCUCAACCUCGAGACGCCGGUGGAAACCAUCUAGCUAGAGUCCGGAAGAGGAGACUGGAAUUCAUGGUGUAGCAGUGAAAUGCGUAGAGAUCAUGAGGAAGACCAGUGGCGAAGGCGGGUCUCUGGACAGUUCCUGACACUGAGACACGAAGGCCAGGGGAGCAAACGGG
rnacentral:rRNA from 1 species